rnacentral:misc_RNA from 1 species
AAGGGGACAUUUCUGCCAUUGGUUAUUCCUGGAACAAUAUUUCAAGCAGGAUUGUGGUCGAUCUGGUUGACUGUUCUCUGUUCUUUAAAGAUGUUUCAAGUUUUGGCUAGAGAUCGACUUGAACGUCUGAAUGCAUCUCCUUCUGCAUUGCCAUGGACUUAUUUUCGUGUGUAUUCAGCACUGUUAUUGGUCCUCUUUGUUGACUUCUUCUGGAUAAGGCUGUGUUUGGUGAUAUACAGAACACUGGGUUCAUCCAUGUUUCUAUUAUUGUUUUUUGAGCCGUUCAGUAUUGCAUUUGAGACUAUGCAGGCAAUGUUGGUACAUGGGUUUCAGUUGCUUGACAUUUGGCUCCAUCAUUCUGCUGGGAAUAGUACAAAUUGCCAAAGGUUCAAAUUUUUUGAUGCAAUAGCAGCAGGUUCUUUGUCUGAGUGGAAAAACAUUCUUAUCCGGAAUUUAGGGUUUUCCCUUGACAUGGCAACUUUGUUGAUGGCACUUGGUCAUUACAUGCAUAUUUGGUGGCUUCAUGGUGUGGCAUUUCAUCUAGUGGAUGCAGUCCUUUUUUUAAAUACACGUGCCUUGCUUAGUGCUAUCAUAAAGCGUGUAAAAGGAUAUGCCAAACUAAGAAUAGCUUUAGGUGCUCUUCAUGCAGCACUUCCAGAUGCAACAUAUGAAGAGCUACGAGCAUAUGAUGAUGAAU